CAGCGAUUCCAGAUCUGGAUCUAGGGUUUUUCUCCAUCACGUUUCUACUACUCCAAUUCCUCACGGAAAUCAUACAGUCCUCUCAAAAUCAAACAGUCCUCUCAAAAUCAAACUCAAGUCUAGGUUUUGAACUUCACGGAGAGUUGAAGAUGAUGCAAGCAGCUGUUUUAAUUGGUGGUGGUUAGCAACGAUAGAGAUGGUGGUGGUCUGCGGCUUGUGGUAUUAAUGGUUAGCGUCAACAGAUUCUGGUGACCCAACCUAGGGUUAAGAGCUUCGACCAGAUUCUGGUAGCCCUAUCUAGGGUUCUGACCAUAACCCCAAUCCGGUGAAAGUUGUAGAUCUGGUCAGUAAAGGAAUGACAACGAAUUUCGUGUUGUGUGAUUAGUGAAGAUCUUCUAAAAGAACAAAAUAUGUGAAGAAAGAGUAUAAGGAAAUCCAGGAGGGUAGUUCUCUUUUUACACAACUACUGUAAUUGUUCAGCAUACCCCCCCCACAGACACACGUGAGAGGUGAUAUUGGCCCGUUUACCUUUAAAAUGGGUCGAUUUGGGUUCAGUUUCGGUGGGCUGAGUUGCAGGUCACAAGGUAGAGGAGUGGUGAUAUUUGUGCAGUUCAGAACAGGUCAGAUUGGGGUAUUGGGACCUAGAUGUGGGGAAGAUGAGUCGUUUCUGAUGGUCAAUCUACUGCUUAUAGAAGUUAUGUUGAAAGGUUCAUGGCCCUUGAUGAACUUUAGUCUGAUCCAAACUCAAAGAGUUUGAAGAUCGGUGACCUUUGGUGGCAAUGGUCAUGAAGAAGCCAUGGUAGCAGUCAGAAUCAAGACUAGAUGGAAGUGGUUUUGGGUUGCUAGGGUUCUGUCAUGAACCCAGGCAGUGCUGACACCUUAGAAGAGCUCGAUGAUGAUUAGGGGUUGAUUCCAGGUAGUCAAGAACAUAAUAAGAUCGAUGGCUCCUUUCAUCCAGUUUCGGUCGUUCAUCGGGUGCCGCUACGAAACCAAAGACGGGAUUGGUUAUGGUAUGUCUCCAGGUCUGAUUCCUUUCAUUGCUGAUAUACAGUCUGAACACAGGUAACUUUAAUUUCAAUCAUUAGUGCAGCAGUCCGGUUUAUCAAUUGUUCAUUGUCACCGUCUAUUGGUUUUUAGAUACUAUUUUCUAAGCGUGUUUGGUUGACUGAAUAGACUUGAUUUAGAGUUUGUGCAAAGGGGUUGUUUUGUGAUUUUUCUAUUAUGUAAUGUUAUAAUAUGAUUUGAAGUUACGAAGUUCAAUACAAAAUUUUGGGUUAUAAAUUAGCUAAAUUGUCGUUUGGAAUGGUCUAUUUGGCGACUGCUUAUUCGGAUUGAUUAUCUGCUUAUUGUGUUUUGUUGCAGCAAUAACAUGUUUUGAGGGCGUUUGGAUUGGUUAAUUAAACUUUCUUAUGUGAUUAGUUGCGAGUGAAAUAAGCUAUUUUGAACACGCGGUUUGAAGUUGUUUAUUCCAAAUUGCUUAUUAUAACCGGAUAAAAAGUUUUAAUAGAUAAUCUGAAACACCUGUAGUGUUGAAUUGUGUUUAACUAUGAACUGUUGGUUCUGGUGCAGUGGAUAGAUAAGGAAGGAUAGACUGCAGAUGGAGCUGAUGCAGAUGAAGAUAGAAUUGAAUUGCUACUGAAGGAAGGAAAGGGUAAAGAUACCGCAGAACUACUUGCUUUGGGAAGGGAAAACAUAUUUUGAAAACAUAUUUUUUACGCGUAGGUUUGAGUACAUUUUUGUAGAUUAU